rnacentral:misc_RNA from 1 species
UGCGCCCAUUCACACUGGGGCGUAGAGAAACACAGCUACGUCCGUUUCUUGCGAUGUCCUCGUCCCUCGCAGGCGAAAUCGCGCAGCUGCACGAGCUAUUCAAGCUUGGGGCUCUGACACAAGAGGAAUUCAACGAGGCCAAGCAGGCAACCAUCCGCAGCUUCAAGACCGCUGCCGCUGCCAAGGCUGCAUCGGCACCAGCGCCAGCAGUGAGCAGCGCAUCUCUCUCUGAGUCGCCAGCAUGCUCGUCACUCACACCCGCGAAACAACAGCCGGACUCGAGCGCGUCCCUUGGCUAUACGGAGAUGGAUGCAGAGGGGAAACUUGCACCUCCGUCUCCGAACGCCUCUGCGUCUCCGUCGGCACACACAGUGGCAGCAACGCGCUCGAGAACCUUCGAAGAAUGGAAGGAGCUCUGGGACACCGCUACGGUUUCCACUCGGACUGCCACUGCUUCAACCGCCUCAGCGCCUCCUGGCGCCUUUGAUGCGCGCAUGCAGGCCCUUCGCUGCCUGUCGCGUCUUUUGUGCAAUGUGCAGAUGUACCCGGCGGAGCCUAAAUACAGGAGGAUUCGUGAAUCGAACAGGAUUAUCGCACAUGAGCUCAUGUCCGUAGCGGAGGCCAGUGGGGCGGUGCUCAGCUUCGCCGGGUUUGUGCGGGAACGAGACGAGGAAGAUGCAUCUGCAAGCGCCUCACCGGCUGGCGCAGCAACGUACUGCUGGGUGCUGCAUGGGGAAGCCGCGGCGGCGGCAGUGGCUGGCAAAGCUGCAGCCGCGGUACGUCUCGUCGACGAGCUGCUCGAGUACUUUGGCGAGCAGCAAUCCCGGCGGUAUCGCGUGCAGCAGCUGUGGCGGUCGGUCGCGCUGGAGGUGCGACUCGAGCGUGCCGCCCGUGGCGUUGACUCGGGAAGUCCUCUGCAGGACGUGUCAGGCCAUCCUGAGGAGGUGAACAACGACGAAGAGAACGAAAAUGGCAAGGGUGGACGGGGCGCAGCGGCGCGGUCUGCUGAGAGCGAAGCGCCGUCACCUCCGCAAGCGCUGCUAUCGUACUUGGUGGAGUGCUACACCGUGGACGAGGCUGGCGAUGGUCUCUUCUCGUCCAUGCACCACCUGCAGACCCUGCAACGACUGUACGAGGAGGCGGCGGCGCACAUCGCGGCUGGCGCACAGCCGUCAUCGUCUCAUUCACUUUUGCGCACGGCCGAAGUUUACGGUGCGGUGGUGCAGCAGCGCGGUGCUGUUGAGCUACUCGUGUACGGCUGCGGCGCUUGUUUCCAUCCGCCUCCUGUAGCGACACAACGCGUUCUUGCAGCCACCGCAUCGACGCUACUGCCAGCGUCGUCCACGCCGUGUAGUGACACAGCCAACGACUACACUAUUCAGCUCAUCCCCUCUGACACGCCGGACGCCUCCGAGUUUGCGGCCCGCUGCUUACGGCUACUGCAGCGCCUGCGCCGCGAGGUGGAGCGGGUGCAACAAGAACGCACUCGUGCUGCCCGUCAGGCAGCAGAGGCCUCCAUGCGGCAGGAGCUGAAGCGGGAGCGGCAACGGCGGCAGCUGGAGAAGAAUAGCGGGCGGGAUGAAAUGCCCGCGGUCGAGCAGACGCAGCAACGGCACCAGCGUCGCCGCACACACCGGCAGGGGCGCGGUGUCCAUCGAAGAGCGGGCGCAUCCUCCUCCACCUCCUCCUCGGCAUCCUCUGCCUCCUCGCGCGGCGCGGCAACGAAGACGGGGGGGCAGCGCAUCCCACUGACGGAGGCCUUGGCGAUACUGAUGGGGAAGAAGAGUCCACCGUCGCGUCGGCCGCCACCUACGUCGUCGCCGUCGUGAAGGCGCGAUGGACAGAGAACUGCGUUGCGCCAGGGCGAGCCGAACUGGCUGCAACAAGAACAAAAUGACGGCAGCGAGCUACGCGCUGCCUCUGUGUAUGUCGCUCUUUUUUUUUGCAGGGCCUAUGCCACCGGCCGCUUCUAUUACCGCUUCCACGCUCUGAUGACGAGGGGACAACGCCCCGCAGGGCGUGGCGUCUCAGGGUGCAGUGCAGCAGCCCCACCUACCCCUGCCAGUGCUCAACCGCUUCUCGUGGCGGCAGGGCGUGAGGUCCUGGACGGCGUUGCGUGGGGGAGGGGCGACCUGCCAGGGCGAACACGCUUCUGCGAUCGAUAUGGUGGGCAGAGUGUCGGCGUGACUCGAGCGUCUCCCACCCCCGGCCCUCACACUGUCUACUGGCGUGGGGGUGCCUGAGUGCCACCCGCGAGGAGGAUGCACGACGUGGCGACCUGCCUGAUGGGGGAGCGGCUGUGAGGCGACAUGCGAGGCGGCGGAUUUGUAGAGUCUGGGGCAGAGGCCGUGCUGCGAUGACUGGGUCCGCAUCGCUGUAACGCGCGUGUCUAGGGCUGCUGCGCGCGACGUGAUGGGCGCCUGUGGGGCAGGCCGUGUGGUGGUGGUGGUGGUGUCGAGGGGAGCACUGACCUCAUGCUGUAUGGCAGAGAAGGAACAGGUUGGAAGAAACAUCUUGGAUGAAAAGAGCCGCAGCACGCACACGCUCUGUGCGCGCCGCAGUGAAAUCAAAA